rnacentral:piRNA from 1 species
UACACUUAGGGUCACACCCAGGUGCCGUGGU